rnacentral:rRNA from 1 species
UACAGAGGGUGCGAGCGUUAAUCGGAAUUACUGGGCGUAAAGGGCGUGUAGGCGGUUAGUUAAGAUUGAUGUGAAAGCCCUGGGCUUAACCUAGGAAUGGCAUCGAUGACUGGCGAGCUAGAGUACUGUAGAGGGCAGUGGAAUUUCCGGUGUAGCGGUGAAAUGCGUAGAGAUCGGAAGGAACACCGGUGGCGAAGGCGGCUGCCUGGACAGUAACUGACGCUGAGGCGCGAGAGCGUGGGGAGCAAACAGG